ensembl:misc_RNA Y_RNA Y RNA
GGAAAAACAAAAGGCAGUGAGUUCUCUCAGCCAAUUUCUCAGCCAAUUACAGGUCGACCUUCUCGUCUACCCCGCUCACUGCUGCGCUUGACUGGUCUUUG